rnacentral:rRNA from 1 species
GAUCAUGGCUCAGAUUGAACGCUGGCGGCAUGCCUUACACAUGCAAGUCGAACGGCAGCACGGGAGCAAUCCUGGUGGCGAGUGGCGAACGGGUGAGUAAUAUAUCGGAACGUGCCCAGUCGUGGGGGAUAACGUAGCGAAAGCUACGCUAAUACCGCAUACGAUCUAUGGAUGAAAGCGGGGGAUCGCAAGACCUCGCGCGAUUGGAGCGGCCGAUAUCAGAUUAGGUAGUUGGUGGGGUAAAAGCCUACCAAGCCUUCGAUCUGUAGCUGGUCUGAGAGGACGACCAGCCACACUGGAACUGAGACACGGUCCAGACUCCUACGGGAGGCAGCAGGUGGGGAAUAUUGGACAAUGGGGGCAACCCUGAUCCAGCCAUGCCGCGUGUGUGAAGAAGGCCCUCGGGUUGUAAAGCACUUUUGUUGGGGAAGAAACCGGCCGGGUUAAUACCCUGGUUGAAUGACGGUACCCAAAGAAUAAGCACCGGCUAACUUCGUG